rnacentral:rRNA from 1 species
CCUACGUGAGGCAGCAGUGGGGAAUAUUGGACAAUGGGCGAAAGCCUGAUCCAGCAAUGCCGCGUGAGUGAUGAAGGCCUUAGGGUUGUAAAGCUCUUUUACCAGGGAUGAUAAUGACAGUACCUGGAGAAUAAGCUCCGGCUAACUCCGUGCCAGCAGCCGCGGUAAUACGGAGGGAGCUAGCGUUGUUCGGAAUUACUGGGCGUAAAGCGUACGUAGGCGGCGAUUCAAGUCAGAGGUGAAAGCCUGGAGCUCAACUCCAGAACUGCCUUUGAAACUAGAUUGCUAGAAUCGUGGAGAGGUGAGUGGAAUUCCGAGUGUAGAGGUGAAAUUCGUAGAUAUUCGGAAGAACACCAGUGGCGAAGGCGGCUCACUGGACACGUAUUGACGCUGAGGUACGAAAGCGUGGGGAGCAAACAGGAUUAGAUACCCUGGUAGUCCACGCCGUAAACGAUGAUAACUAGCUGCCAGGGUUCUUAGAACUUUGGUGGCGCAGCUAACGCAUUAAGUUAUCCGCCUGGGGAGUACGGUCGCAAGAUUAAAACUCAAAGGAAUUGACGG